AUAAAACAAAAUCGGACGGACGACCUACUCGUUACGCGUAACGAGAUAUAGUUGACAAUUUCUGAUUCUAAGGGGGUUAGGAUGACCCCCUUAGGGUCAUGACUUACAUGCCAUAAUGAUCUGAUGCGCCAUGACCUAAGAAGGAAUAAUAUCUUUGGAUUAAGAAUACUGGGUAAGGCUCUUCAAAGAGUAUACAAAGGAAGAGUUGUAUUAAAAUAAUUUAAUGCGACUGAAAAACAUUGAAUGCCAUCAUAACUUGCUAUUGAGGUCGCAUUAUAACGUAACCUUGUUUAUAAAUCAAGCCGUCUUCCUAGCUACUAUUAUGCAACAUCAAUGAUCGAGGUCAGUUCAUGGAGCAUCUUCUUAUGAUUGAGGUCAGUUCAUCAAGGUCAACUGCAUUACUGAAUGAAUCUUUCGAUCGAAAUUCUUACGCGUGAGACAAAAUGAGCAUUCUUGAAUAAACAGGUCGAACUGUAUUUAAUGUAUGUUUGCAUCUCUUAAGGUAAAUGAAUUGAAAUAAAACUGAGUAAAAUGUUAUAUAAAUACUAAAC
rnacentral:sRNA from 1 species